rnacentral:rRNA from 1 species
GAUGCACGCUGGCGGCGUGCCUAAUACAUGCCAGUCGAGCGAAGCGGGGACGGGUGAGUAACACGUGGAUAACCUCCUAUAAGACUGGGGUAACUUCGGGAAACCUGCGCUAAACCGGAUACUUAUAGUUGGCUCUGAGCUGCAUUAGUUAGUUGGUACGGUAACGGGUUACCAAGGCAACGAUGCAUCAACGACCUGAGGGUGGUAUCGGCCACACGGGAACUGAGACACGGUCCAGACUACUACGGUAGGCAGCAGUAGGGAAUCGUCCGCAAUGGUCGAAAGCCUGACGGAGCAACGCCGGGUGAGUGAUGUAGGGCUUCGGAUCGUAAAACUCUGUUAUGAGGGAAGCGGUACCUAAUCAGAAAGCCACGGCUAACUACGUGCCAGCAGCCGCGGUAAUUC